UGAGAUUUUUAGAACUGAUGAGGAACAAAAAUUAAAAAUCAAUUGGGAUUUUUAGAGAAGUUCCAUGCUGCAAUGAGAAAGUCCAACACAGCUCUCAGAUAGUCACCCUGUAGAUCUCCAAAACAUAAAGCAUCCUGAGCUACCAAACGGUAACAUUGGAAGGUUACAGUUUCACAUGUCUCAAAUGUAGAAGGUGUCAUUAAAUGGCCACAACUUUUGAGUGGCUAGUUGGAAAUAAUGUCAUCUUAUCAGUGGCUAAUUGGUUAGCAGAACUUUUGAAGAAAAGUGGAAGCAGAGGCGCUAGUGCUUUUGCAAACCCGACGAUGAGAUCAUUGGCGCUUAACCUAGAAAUGGGGUCGGAAAGGCUCACGCCAUGCUCGGCAGCCGUCUGGCACCCUACCUGGUGGCAUUGCCUUGUGGUUGGCCCAGUGCCUGGCUCGCCGACAAGCUCCAGGGGAUAACUAAUUAACCACUUCUAACCCAAUGACCCUGCAAAAUCCUGACCAAGAAAUCACUUUUUUCACACACAACAGCCACCAAUUAGCAUGCACAAGUUCAUGUAAAAAGAACAAGUUCAUGUAUAGUAACAUUACAUGUUCACAAGAAUCUCAACAAGUAAUCUUUUAAACUCGAACUUAUCCAAAAGAGAUUUUCCAACCAAAGAAUAAACCUUUCAAAUAACCGGCACUGAACUGAACUAAAAUAAUAAAAUGAUUCGAACUAAGAUAGAACUGAACUGAAGUAAAUUUUAGAACUGUACCGAGUUCAAAUUAGAAUUCAAACUUGCAAACUUUCCAAACAAGUACUUAGCUCGCUUGCCAUACAACGCUUUUUGAAUUUGUCAUGUGGUACUCUUUGAACUUGUGCAAUUCGUUGGUGGCAGCAAGCAGCAACUAGAAGUAUACAAUUGUUUUAUAACAUCCUAAACACUAAACUGUAUUAUAGAAGGACUAGUCAAGGUCUCAGGAAUCAACUAAAUUUUCCACUCAAGUCUAUAUUCAUCAGUACUAGUAGGACUCAAAUGUGAGCUAAUUUUCAAUAGAGAUUCACUAAAAUGGCUUCUAAUUUUUUUGAAACAUCUAGCUUCUAAUUUUUUUCAUAUAGGAAAAUACACAUUGAACCGAUAAUAAUAUAUUAUUUUUCCAUAUAGGAAAUAUGUUCUUCUCCACAUGAACUGAUACUCUAACACACAGAGAAUUGUUUCCAUGCUUUUCUAAUAACCGGGGAUAAAAUAAAUAGUGUUUUUCCAGGGUCUCAUUGCAACCUUGCUACCUAUUCAAUUAAGGAUUCAUGUGACACUUGCUUCCCAUUUCAUCAGUACUUGUACCACUCAACAAUAAGUUCAUAACUGUAGACGGCAUCCUUGUCAGUACGACUCAUCAGUACUAUAUGGAUGUUACAUUUAACAUUUAAGAAUAGUACUGAUCGGUACUAAUAUUGUGUAAGUUGUACUGAUCAGUACUACUACUUGUCGUACUGCUGAGCAGUACUGAUCUAGCUAACAUAGAGAUUUUUUCAUCUAGUGGACUUUUAACAUUAUAUUAGAAAAAGAAAUCUAGAGUAAUUAUCUUGUAGAACCAAUAAAGAAAUAUAGCGGAGCAGCUCCAAACACAACAAUGUACACAUGGCAUCUUCUUUUACCGAUGCGAAAUUAAAUAGAUUGGUACAAACUAUAAAAAGCUAGUUCAACAUAUGCUCUUUUUUCCAUGAUUCCAGACUGAAUUCUCCAGACAAUAGAACUUGAUUUUUUUCUGCAAAUAUAAUAGUGCACCAGAGCAAAAGCAUUUUCUACAUAGAACCGCAUUACCGAGUUUUGAACUACAGAACUUGAAUAAGAUUUGUACUGAACAUAAAUAAUAAAUUGAACUGAUCUAUUAUGUUUUAACACACAGAUUGUACUGUUUCUGCGGUUCAUUACAGACUACUGAUAUAAAUACAUAUUGAAACUCCACAAUAAAAGAAAAUUCACUAAUAAAUAAUACUUUUCUUGAGCAAUCAAAUAAGUGUUGCAUGAAAUACAUCAAAUAUUUAGAGCAAUCUAACAAGUGUCACAUGAAAAUGGAGGAAAGUGCAAGAACUAUUAAAGAAAGGAAUACGUUUGAAGUAACCAGGAAGACGACAUCAAGAAUUGAACUAAAAUAAUUUUUUGUAUUUGAACUGAACAAAAGAAAUUGGAUGUGUGAUGACUCUCACUCUCAUCCAUGAUCGCAUGAUAAUUUUUUUGAACUGAACUAAGCAUCCCCCAGCUGCUACUACAUGAUAAUGUUAGCAUGCCUCAUUCUCUAUCACAGACACACACAGGGGACGAAUGAUUCUGACUCUCAGUCACUGGCUAGCUUACCUAGAUGAUAGGGAUAAAGUUGACCUGGAUCCAGGGGCGGAGCUCGGGUGGCUUGCACGCAGCUCCUUGAGAAACCAACGGUGGAGCAUGUAGUUGGACUAUCGAGCCAGAGGUCCUUGAUCCAGCGACUCCCCUCCUAGGCUCACUAUUUUCCGCUGAAGCGCAGGGUGUUGGAACGAACAGAACAAGGUAGAAACAAUCAAACAAUCGAUGAACCCACAAAUAAAUUUUGUCAGCGUUGUAUGAUGUAUAGGCCACAAUGUAUUGUAUGAUGUCAGUGUUGUAUGAUGUAUACAGGCCCGGCCCUGAUGGGAGGCAGGGGGCGGCCGCCCCGGGCCCCCGAAAUAGAGGGGCCCCCACAUACGUGUGCUCUCUGUAUCAGGCCCAUGGGCAAGUAAAUCGGUGAUUCGCUAAAUUGGUGGAACUUUUGUUUCCCUCACAUAGGUCCGCGCAUGAAGACGUGAGUGAUCGCCCUAGCGACAUAUCACGCACGACUCCUCUACUCCCGCAAGCCCGAGGGCGACCCCGCCGCCGACACAGCCUCCCCCGAUGAUUUCUCCUCCAAUGGCGGAUCGAGUAAUUCAUGUUCAUCGCCAUGGACAGGAGUAACAACAACACCGGCCCUGGCAGGCAGUUUUAAACUACACAUAUCAGGUUAGCAUCGUCCUGCAUCCAAGGGAGCUAGCUAGAUUGAUAUGUGACUAGUUAGUAGCAGAAUUAUUAGAUCUAGUGAAUUAGCGGACAAGAGUAGGACGUAGUUGUCCUUCUGACUAAUUUUUUAGGGCAAUCUUUCUUGACUAAUUAAUCUGGUUGUGUUGGCGAUCGAUGAAAGACAAGGGGAGAGGAUGUCUACAAUCCAUGGAAUAAUAAUGAUAGCCAAGCUGAAAUUAAUUAGAGGAUUCAUGGUCGAUUCAAUAUGAUUAGGUGGCAAAAUUAACUUUUAGUGUUGCAAAUUAUAAAGUUAUUCUACCUGUUAGCCACGAGCAGUUCAAAUUACUUUUUGUUUGCCAAACUAUAAUAUAUAUAAUUAGAUCCUCAAACUAGGUGGACCAUCUGGUUUUGCACUCCAUGAUAAAAAAAAUAAGAACAAUUCGUGUUAAAAAAUUAUCUAAACAUGCACAUAAUGAUCACAAUUUUGAAUGUAUAAAGGGUCCCCGGUUAUAAUUUUGCCCCGGGCCCCUGAAAUCUCAGGACCGGCCCUGGAUGUAUAGGCCACAAUGUGCUACCUCAUAUAACAAGAGCCACACCUAAAUGAGGCACAAAAGCUAGCAGCAUCAGCAUACGAGAACUACACACAUAACUUCGAAAUAAACUUCAACAGGAAGAUCAACUCAUCUACUAAACCUGCAUUCCCAGAGAACAAAUCGAUCGAGCGCUACCUCACCUUUCUUAAGCUUUGACAGCCUUCCCCGGAAUGCGACCGUCACAGUGCCUCACCCCACAUCCGCCUCCCCUUGUAGCGUCAGCAGCGGUGUGCUGCUACUGCUGAAGCAGCAGCCUUCCCUGCUGAUGCAGC
rnacentral:lncRNA from 1 species